rnacentral:rRNA from 1 species
GGGUAGAGUAACACGUGAGUAACCUGCCCUUCACUCUGGGAUAACGUCGGGAAACCGGUGCUAAUACUGGAUAUGACCUACUCGGGCAUCCGAUGUGGGUGGAAAGAUUUAUUGGUGGGGGAUGGACUCGCGGCCUAUCAGCUUGUUGGUGAGGUAAUGGCUUACCAAGGCGACGACGGGUAGCCGGCCUGAGAGGGCGAUCGGCCACACUGGGACUGAGACACGGCCCAG